AGGGCAGGGGGGUCUCGGCCAUUUCGGCUGAGCCUGUCCGGCAGGUUGCGCGUGAUGGCUCAGGUGCGACCAGUGGUUGUCGCUCGGGGGUGAUCGCCG
rnacentral:sRNA from 17 species